UACAGAGGUCCCAAGCGUUGUUCGGAUUCACUGGGCGUAAAGGGUGCGUAGGUGGCGAGGUAAGUCGGAUGUGAAAGCUCGGAGCUCAACUCCGAAAUGGCAUUGGAAACUACCUUGCUCGAGGGUUGGAAGGGGGACUGGAAUUCUCGGUGUAGCAGUGAAAUGCGUAGAUAUCGAGAGGAACACCAGUGGCGAAGGCGAGUCCCUGGACAACUCCUGACACUGAGGCACGAAAGCUAGGGGAGCAAACAGG
rnacentral:rRNA from 1 species